GUGAUCACUUCAGCAACUCAUAGACAAAAAUUGGAACGAUGCAGAGAAGGUUAGCAUGGCCCCCACGCAAGAAUGACAUGCAAAUUCAUGACGUCCUCCAUAUUUAA